GAUAAACUAGGGCGGCCGGCCUGAUGCGUACGUGUGUGCCCGCGCCUCCCGUACGAGAGGAGAAUAAAAUGUCAUUAGUACCAUCAAAUUAAGCUAGCUAGUUAAGCUUUACGAAAAUCGAUCCCUUUCUUCCUCUGUGGUGUUUAGCAGUUUAGGGAUCGUAUGUCUCCACAGUUCCUACUAUAGUGUCGCUUGGGCGAUGGUGGAGCUAUAUUGUGCACUUUAUAAGGUGGUGUUAUUAUGUAACGCCUGUGCUAGCUUUGGUCCUGAUGUUCUCCAUGUGAACUGUGUCAACCGUCCAUUGUUCUGCAAAUCUGCAGUAUGUACUGUGUGUGAUAGUAUCAAGCUGAACUUCUG
rnacentral:sRNA from 1 species